GUAACGGCGAGUGAAGCGGCAAGAGCUCAAAUUUGAAAUCUGGCCCCUCCGGGGUCCGAGUUGUAAUUUGCAGAGGAUGCUUCGGGUGCGGCCCCUGUCUAAGUGCCCUGGAACGGGCCGUCAGAGAGGGUGAGAAUCCCGUCUUGGGCAGGGUGCCCGUGCCCGUGUGAAGCUCCUUCGACGAGUCGAGUUGUUUGGGAAUGCAGCUCUAAAUGGGUGGUAAAUUUCAUCUAAAGCUAAAUACCGGCCGGAGACCGAUAGCGCACAAGUAGAGUGAUCGAAAGAUGAAAAGCACUUUGAAAAGAGAGUUAAACAGCACGUGAAAUUGUUGAAAGGGAAGCGCUUGCGACCAGACUCGGCCUCGGGGUUCAGCCAGCAUUCGUGCUGGUGUACUUCCCCGGGGCCGGGCCAGCGUCGGUUCGGGCGGCCGGUCAAAGGCCCCAGGAAUGUAUCGUCCUCCGGGACGUCUUAUAGCCUGGGGUGCAAUGCGGCCAGCCUGGACCGAGGAACGCGCUUCGGCACGGACGCUGGCGUAAUGGUCACAAACGACCCGUCUUGAAACACGGACCAAGGAGUCUAACAUCUACGCGAGUGUUCGGGUGUCAAACCCGUACGCGCAGUGAAAGCGAACGGAGGUGGGAGCCCCUUUUGGGGCGCACCAUCGACCGAUCCUGAAGUCUUCGGAUGGAUUUGAGUACGAGCGUAGCUGUGGGGACCCGAAAGAUGGUGAACUAUGCCUGAAUAGGGUGAAGCCAGAGGAAACUCUGGUGGAGGCUCGCAGCGGUUCUGACGUGCAAAUCGAUCGUCAAAUUUGGGUAUAGGGGCGAAAGACUAAUCGAACCAUC
rnacentral:rRNA from 1 species